rnacentral:rRNA from 1 species
UACAGAGGGUGCGAGCGUUGCUCGGAAUCACUGGGCGUAAAGCGCACGUAGGCGGAUUGCUAAGUCAGGGGUGAAAUCCUGGAGCUCAACUCCAGAACUGCCUUUGAUACUGGCGAUCUCGAGUCCGGGAGAGGUGAGUGGAACUGCGAGUGUAGAGGUGAAAUUCGUAGAUAUUCGCAAGAACACCAGUGGCGAAGGCGGCUCACUGGCCCGGUACUGACGCUGAGGAACGAAAGCUAGGGGAGCAAACAGG